UUCACAGAGUACCUUCAAGUUCAAGUCUGAGAGUGACAUUCACUUGGCAGAGCAUCACAAGCAGGUUCUGUAUGACGGGAAGCUUGCGAGUAGCAUUGCCUUUUCCUACAAUGCCAAGGCCACCGAUGCUCAGCUUUGCCUGGAGUCCUCACCGAAGGAAAAUGCAUCCAUAUUUGUGCAUUCGCCUCACGCAUUGAUGCUCCAGGAUGUGAAAGCUAUAGUAACACAUUCAAUUCAUAGUGCAAUCCAUUCAAUCGGAGGGAUUCAAGUACUUUUCCCACUUUUUGCCCAGCUGGACAAUCGACAGCUUAAUGACAGUCAAGUAGAAACAACUGUCUGUGCUACUCUUUUGGCAUUCCUCGUUGAACUACUUAAAAGUUCAGUAGCCAUGCAAGAACAGAUGCUGGGUGGAAAAGGCUUU
rnacentral:lncRNA from 1 species